UACGUAGGGUGCAAGCGUUGUCCGGAAUUACUGGGCGUAAAGGGCUCGUAGGCGGCCAACUAAGUCGGACGUGAAAUCCCUCAGCUUAACUGGGGAACUGCGUCCGAUACUGGAUGGCUUGGAUUUGGGAGAGGGAUGCGGAAUUCCAGGUGUAGCGGUGAAAUGCGCAGAUAUCAGGAGGAACACCAAUUGCGAAGGCAGCUCGCUGGGACGUUACUGACGCUGAGACGCGAAAGCGUGGGGAGCAAACAGG
rnacentral:rRNA from 1 species